ACGUAUACUGAAUGUAUCCUGAGUGUAUACUAUCCGGUAUACCUUCAGUAUACGUAACA
rnacentral:pre_miRNA from 1 species